UAUGGGUGUGCCAGCAGCCGCGGUAAUACGUAGGUCCCGAGCGUUGUCCGGAUUUAUUGGGCGUAAAGCGAGCGCAGGCGGUUUGAUAAGUCUGAAGUUAAAGGCUGUGGCUCAACCAUAGUUCGCUUUGGAAACUGUCAAACUUGAGUGCAGAAGGGGAGAGUGGAAUUCCAUGUGUAGCGGUGAAAUGCGUAGAUAUAUGGAGGAACACCGGUGGCGAAAGCGGCUCUCUGGUCUGUAACUGACGCUGAGGCUCGAAAGCGUGGGGAGCGAACAGG
rnacentral:rRNA from 1 species